rnacentral:rRNA from 1 species
CGGACGGGUGAGUAAUGUCUGGGAAACGUGCCUGAUGGAGGGGGGUAACUACUGGAAACGGUAGCUAAUACCGCAUAACGUCGCAAGACCAAAGAGGGGGACCUUCGGGCCUCUUGCCAUCGGAUGUGCCCAGAUGGGAUUAGCUAGUAGGUGGGGUAAAGGCUCACCUAGGCGACGAUCCCUAGCUGGUCUGAGAGGAUGACCAGCCACACUGGAACUGAGACACGGUCCAG